GUGUUUUGUCUGUGUUGCUUUCCUCCUCUGCUCUGCUCCUUUCGCUGGUCACCUUCUGUUCUUUACAUACAGUUUCUGUUUCAUCUUCAACUGACGUGCAGGUGCCACCCACAACCGCCAAACACACCAGCCACGACACCCGGCCUGCUUGGCAGGACAGCACCUCUGCUCUUCUGCUACUCAGCUUGAGAUGAUGAGCACUGCUGAGGAGAGACUUCUAAUCCCCAACAGCUCUUAACACAAUAGACCUCAACCCCAGCUGAAGACUAGAUGCAAGACCGCCAAAAGUAAAUACUGUGGAUAUUUGUAGGGACUCGUAAAGCUCCUCUCAUGUUUCA